rnacentral:rRNA from 1 species
GGUAAAGGAUGUGGGAUUGCACAGACAACCAGGAUGUUGGCUUAGAAGCAGCCACUCAUUCAAAGAGUGCGUAAUAGCUCACUGGUCGAGUGAUCCUGCGCCGAAGAUUUCCGGGGCUAAAACUUACUACCGAAGCUACGGCAUCAUUAUGAUGGGUAGGGGAGCUUCCCAUACGGGUUGAAGCAUGACCGUAAGGACAUGUGGACAGUAUGGGAGUGAGAAUGUUGGCAUGAGUAGCGAGAUGUGGGUGAGAAUCCCACAGGCCGUAAACCCAAGGUUUCCAGGGGAAGGUUCGUCCGCCCUGGGUUAGUCGGGACCUAAGCUGAGGCCGAAAGGCGUAGGUGAUGGACAACAGGUUGAUAUUCCUGUACUACCGAUAACCGUUUGAGAGAAGGGAUGACACAGUAGGAUAAGCUAAGCACACUGUUGGUUAUGUGUGCCCAAGCAUUGAGGCAGUCAAAGUAGGCAAAUCCGCUUUGAUAAUGCUGGGAUGUGAUGGGGAGCGAAAUUUAGUAGCGAAGUAGCUGAUUUCACACUGUCAAGAAAAGUCUCUAUCGAGGUUAAAGGUACCCGUACCGCAAACCGACACAGGUGGGUGAGGAGAGUAUCCUAAGGUCAGCGAGAGAACUGUUGUUAAGGAACUCGGCAAAAUGACCCCGUAACUUAGGGAUAAGGGGUGCCACCAUCAGGUGGCCGCAGAGAAUAGGCCCAAGCGACUGUUUACCAAAAACAUAGGUUUCUGCUAAGUCGCAAGACGAUGUAUAGGAGCUGACGCCUGCCCGGUGCUGGAAGGUUAAGGGGAUCUGUUAGAGCAAUCGAAGCAGUGAACUUAAGCCCCAGUAAACGGCGGCCGUAACUAUAACGGUCCUAAGGUAGCGAAAUUCCUUGUCGGGUAAGUUCCGACCCGCACGAAAGGCGUAACGAUUUGGGCACUGUCUCAACAACAGACUCGGUGAAAUUGUAAUUCCGGUGAAGAUGCCGGAUACCUGCGACAGGACGGAAAGACCCCAUGGAGCUUUACUGUAGCUUGACAUUGGGUCUUGGUACUACAUGUACAGGAUAGGUGGGAGGCUUUGAAACCAGGACGCCAGUUUUGGCGGAGCCAUCCUUGGGAUACCACCCUUGUAGUACUGGGACUCUAACCAUAGGCCAUGAAUCUGGUCUUGGGACACUGUCAGGUGGGCAGUUUGACUGGGGCGGUCGCCUCCCAAAAGGUAACGGAGGCGCUCAAAGGUUCUCUCAGUACGGUCGGAAAUCGUACGUAGAGUGUAAAGGCAAAAGAGAGCUUGAUUGCAAGACAUACAGGUCGAGCAAGGAUGAAAAUCGGACUUAGUGAUCCGGUGGUUCUGCGUGGAAGGGCCAUCGCUCAACGGAUAAAAGCUACCCUGGGGAUAACAGGCUUAUCUCCCCCAAGAGUCCACAUCGACGGGGAGGUUUGGCACCUCGAUGUCGGCUCAUCACAUCCUGGGGCUGUAGUAGGUCCCAAGGGUUGGGCUGUUCGCCCAUUAAAGUGGUACGCGAGCUGGGUUCAGAACGUCGUGAGACAGUUCGGUCCCUAUCCGUCGCAGGCGUAGGAAAUUUGAGAAGACCUGUCCUUAGUACGAGAGGACCGGGAUGGACGUACCUCUGGUGUACCAGUUGU